CGGUGUACGUAAGAUUCUUACCAAUGGUGAUAACAUGCAACAUGCUACAGGCAGGAAAUACAGUGGACGGUUGCUGCUGGAGCUUGGCGUGAGUUCUUGCGAUGUCAUGGAUCAUGUAAUUACCAUCAAGAAUGCUGCCAUUCGCUGAUUGCAACUAAAUGUACAGAUGAAAGGUCCUUUUGUUUUAAUGCUAUUGAUGCAUCGCAAGUUGGUGAAACUGAUUUGUCUAGGUGGAUGCAAAAUUAGGAUUGAGUUUUACCCAUGCUGUUCUCGUUGCUCCUGUCAAGGUUUGCUUCUGCUUGCCUGUGUAAAGUGUAUGCUUUCCUGUGUCACACCAGAAGCGGGAUUUUUUCUUGUUUGACUUUGUGUUCUUGACCUCGGACCAUGAGGUAUAAGCUCCAUUGCAUGGUGGGUUAUCUCAAAACGAUCAUGUGGAAGAGUAUCUGGUGAUCGGUUGUAGAAACUACUACACAAUUUUCUAGAAGUAAAGCUACCAGUACUCCCUUGAUUAUCAGUUGCUAUUUGGACCAUGGUGGAGUCAGCGCCCUUGCUGCAGCCUACGGCUCUCCCCUUGCCCCUUUGUCGAAGCAAUAGGAAAGGACAAGGCCACCAACCCAUGAUGAUGCACUCACAGCUGCCCAGGCCUCCCUGAUCCUCCCUCGCAUGUCCUUAUACUGCCAUCAGUGGCACCACUCGAGAUCAAUGCCAUGAGGUUAUCUACCAUGUGCUUCCAGAUCAAAUUUCUACACUAGCUGCCAUCAUCGAUGUUUCUGACGCUGUGAAUACCACUGAAUCCAUUUGGUAUGCUUAGUUAUCUGGUUAGUUGGAUCAAAUACAAUAUCAUCUAUUAAUCCUUUACAAUAUCCUCCAGUCACAUGAAAAAAAUCAUAAUUGUUUCCGUCAGAGCCAAGGUCAACUGGAUCCAUGCGUUUUUCGUUCAUGUUUGUUUGGAUGCCUCCAAGAGAUAAGGUGUCAGAUCGUUUUAUUUAGAUUUUGUGCUGGUACUAUGUUGAGUUCUUGUCUAU